UGGGGAAUUUUGGACAAUGGGCGAAAGCCUGAUCCAGCAAUGCCGCGUGUGUGAAGAAGGCCUUCGGGUUGUAAAGCACUUUUGUCCGGAAAGAAAUCCUUGGCUCUAAUACAGUCGGGGGAUGACGGUACCGGAAGAAUAAGCACCGGCUAACUACGUGCCAGCAGCCGCGGUAAUACGUAGGGUGCAAGCGUUAAUCGGAAUUACUGGGCGUAAAGCGUGCGCAGGCGGUUUGCUAAGACCGAUGUGAAAUCCCCGGGCUCAACCUGGGAACUGCAUUGGUGACUGGCAGGCUAGAGUAUGGCAGAGGGGGGUAGAAUUCCACGUGUAGCAGUGAAAUGCGUAGAGAUGUGGAGGAAUACCGAUGGCGAAGGCAGCCCCCUGGGCCAAUACUGACGCUCAUGCACGAAAGCGUGGGGGAGCAAACAGGAUUAGAUACCCUGGUAGUCCACGCCCUAAACGAUGUCAACUAGUUGUUGGGGGAUUCAUUUCCUUAGUAACGUAGCUAACGCGUGAAGUUGACCGCCUGGGGAGUACGGUCGCAAGAUUAAAACUCAAAUGAAUUGACGGGGUCAUAGCUGUUUCCU
rnacentral:rRNA from 1 species